GUCCCCGUAGCGCAGGGGAUAGCGCUCUGGGGAUAGCGCGCUGGACUUCUAAUCCAGAGGUCGCGGGUUCGAAUCCCGCCGGGGAUG